AUCGAACGCUGGCGGCAUGCUUUACACAUGCAAGUCGAACGGUAACAGGCCUUCGGGCGCUGACGAGUGGCGAACGGGUGAGUAAUGCAUCGGAACGUGCCCAGUCGUGGGGGAUAACGCAGCGAAAGCUGUGCUAAUACCGCAUACGAUCUGCGGAUGAAAGCGGGGGACCUUCGGGCCUCGCGCGAUUGGAGCGGCCGAUGUAGGAUUAGGUAGUUGGUGGGGUAAAGGCUCACCAAGUCAAGGAUCUGUAGCUGGUCUGAGAGGACGACCAGCCACGCUGGGACUGAGAAACGGCUUUGACGCGUACGAGAGGCAUGAGUGGGAAGUUUGGAGCAAUGGGCGCAAGCAUGGUCAAGCAAUUCCGCGUGCAGGAAGAAGGCCUAGGGGUUGUAAACUGCUUUUGUACGGAGCGAAAAGGCUCCCUCUAAUACAGGGGGCUCAUGACGGUACCGUAAGAAUAAGCACCGGCUAACUACGUGCCAGCCGCCGCAGUAAAAC
rnacentral:rRNA from 1 species